rnacentral:lncRNA from 1 species
AUGUCUUUUUUUCUUCCUCUUCCCACUUCCCCCUCCUUUUUAUUAAAAAAAAAAUGGAAUCCAGCUUUCUCUAGAAGUUUGCUCUUCAGCCUCUCCUCUCCCAUUCCCAUGGAAGAAGGAUCCCACUGCAAAGGAGUGAUUCCAGGCAAGACCCCACUGCUGGAGCCCAGGUCAAAAGUGGAUCAUUGAGGCAGUUGACAAAUAAUUAAGACGUGGUACUUAAGGAGAAUCGGAGAAGACUAUCAGGAGGAAUUCAGAACAUCUUCACCUGGAUUUUCAUGGGUAUGUAGAAAUGUACAUGGUCAGAGCUGAAGGGAUAAUCUAACUUUUG